GGGUAUCAUGUUCAAAUCCUACAAAUUGACUUUUUCUGAAAUUUAAAUCAUUAUCUAAAACAGAGGAGAAACUAUGCCCAAAACAAUAUAUUGGCCAACACAUAAAAAGAUCAUAAACAAUCUAUUGACCAAUACAUGAAAGAUCACAGUAUAUAACGUAUGAACCAACUAAAAGAAGUCAUAGACAGAUAAAAUUUUACAAAAAUUCGGACCAAUAAUUUACAUAUUAUGAUAAUCUAUAAUAAAUCUAACCGGCAAAAUGAAGAUGGAUAAUUAUCUACGUUUAUUAUAACCAAAUAUCAUUUGCAACACUCACUUGGCAUAAUUGACAUUCAUCAUUCUAUUAAACGAGUGCCUGCAUAUUUGAAAGGCUCUUCAUACCUGCCUGGAAAAGAAGAGUGAAAAUCCCAUUAACAUUAUAACAUUUGUGUAAUUAAGAAUGUGAUAAAGUGGAGCUGUUAACUAAAUUGUACCCAUCUUGCAGAAGGUCCAAAACUGAAAUAAAUUACAGGACAUUUGAAAGAGUCUCCUCUCCAUUUUCCUAGUAAAUGGACAAAAUACAAAUGGACAGUAGUAUCUCACCCCUUCCCUAAGUUAAUUAUUGAAUCUAAUUUUGGCUCUAAACAGGAAAUGGAGAGGACCACAACAAAAUAUGAAGGAAAAAAAUGGUUGUUCAGUAUAUGAGGAUCAUAAUUAGUGGGGUUUGAGGAAAAUAGAUGUAUGCAACUUUACUUUACAAACGAAUAAGUUGUUUGAACCUAUGACCUGGUCACAAUGCAAGCAGCUUAUAGCAAGACUCACCCUCUACCACAAAAUCUGAAAGUGCAAAUAUAUUUCUCCUUAUUCA
rnacentral:lncRNA from 1 species